GCGGGGUUAGUUAAGCGGUUUAACACAACCCUUCCAAGGUCGAGAGACGGGUUCGACUCCCGUACCCCGCUC
rnacentral:tRNA from 1 species